GGGCCCGCACAAGCGGUGGAGCAUGUGGUUUAAUUCGAUGAUACGCGAGGAACCUUACCAGGGCUUAAAUGUAAGUUGCAUAAAUCAGAGAUGAUUUUUUCUUCGGACCACUUACAAGGUGCUGCAUGGUUGUCGUCAGCUCGUGCCGUGAGGUGUCAGGUUAAGUCCUAUAACGAGCGCAACCCCCUGUCGUUAGUUGCCAGCGAGUCAUGUCGGGAACUCUAACGAGACUGCCGGUGCAAACCGAGAGGAAGGUGGGGAUGACGUCAAAUCAUCACGGCCCUUACGUCCUGGCCACACACGUGCUACAAUGGCCGGUACAGAGAGCAGCCACUACGCGAGUAG
rnacentral:rRNA from 1 species